rnacentral:lncRNA from 1 species
UGAUUUUGACUAUAUUUACGGCUAAAAAAAGCUAUGGGUUUCUUUCUUUUCGUGAUCUUUUCUUCUUGAUAAAGUACGCUACCUCCCGCCCAGCGAGAACUGUCACAGUAUAGGUAUAAAGGUUCUGUCGUGUCUAUGUAAUUUAGUUUUCAGUCUGCUGUCACUUUACUUUUUAACGAGUUAAAUGCAUGUGUUUGUUCGGGUCCCCAGUUGAAUUCGGUUUUUUUAUUUAAAAGUUUCGUUAGGGGCAAAAGAUGAGAUUGCAGAUUGGGGAUAAAUUUAGAUAUAUAUGUGAACGACCCUUAAAAUCUUUGUAAGGAUUUUAAGUCUUUGGGUUGAGGGAUUUUAUUUAUGCUUUUAAUUCUUUCAUCUGUUAGAGAUAUUCCUGAUGGUUCAAAUUUAAACCCGAGAAAUUGAUAACUUUUGACGAAAGCAGAACAUUUAUUCAGGCUAAUUUUAAGUCCGUUCUCUUUAAAAAGUUGCAUUACUUUAAUUAAAAGUUUUCUGUGAUUAUUUUUUCCUCUACAGCAAAGAAGGAGAUCAUCAGCAUAAAUUAUGAUUAGUUUUUUUAAAAUAAGUUCUUUAAGGAUGUCAGCUAAUACUCUGUUAAAAGUAGAAUUAACGUUUUUUAGGCCAAAUGGGGAUCUUAAAAACUUAAUUGUUGACCAGUCAGGCGUGAUAGUAUUAAGAUAUUUGCUAGUUUGUUCCGUUAAUUGAAGGGAAUUAUGAGCUGCUCUAAUGUCUAAUGAUGAAAAAUAAAGUGUUUUAUCAUUGUCGUCUUCAUUUUCUAAAAAUUCUUUGAAAGUUUGAAAAUCUUUAUCUACAUUUAGGAUUGGUUCUUUACAUUGGUCCGCGGAGCUUCCGACGGACAUCAGAUCUGCAAUUACUUCCUCUGGAUUUUGAGAACAAACGAUCUCGGGAAGUGUGUUUUCAUUUAAAGAUCUGGCAUCAAGACAAAUACGGAGUAUCAGUACUAGUAUAUACAGACGAGAAGGAGGCCAGGAGGGUGUCAGAGAGUUUACUGUUUAAACAUAGAUUUAAGGACUGUUUCUAAGUAUGAAAAGGCUGAGCUAGUGAAAAGUCUGAGAUAGAAACAUAAUGAGAAAGCUAUUGAUGGAUAUGUAAAGCAGAGGAUCGAGGUUUUGGAAUUUCAAUGGGAUCUGCAUCUGCAUGUUUUUUUGGUCUAACCCAGGUUCAUCAGUCCUCGGUAGAUGUUGUCCGAGGUCUUCUAGAGAAGAAGAGUGGGAGAGGUCAGAUGGGUUGACCUUCUCCUUCCAGUGCUUGUCGUAGAGUGUUGAAGACCUGGGGUUCUUUCCAUCAUCAAGAAUUAGAUAACGAUAUGAGUUACAAAGCAUAACAAUAACAAAUAUUCUUUACAAAAUUAUGAUAUAACAAACAUUAAUUAUAUACAAAAUAAAACGAGCACUAUUUAACUUCCUUUUCUUAUUUACUAGUUAGAAUUGCAUAAUGUAAAGUAUAUUUAAACUAAUCGGUUCUUUAUGAAGGGGGGAAGUGGUACAAGAAAGGGAGGGGGAGGGUUUAUGACCACUAAAAAUAGUCAUUUCUUUAUCGGGAUUUUUCUAGACGUUAGGGAUGUAAUUAUCUCUGAAUAGGGAGAAGAAAGAAUCAGAUUAUGACAGCGGGGAACCCAUCAAUUUCUAUAAUUGUUAGGUGCAAGAGAUUAGAUCUAUGGGAAAAGCAAGGAUUCCAUCAGAUAUCUAUUUUUAACGUUGAAAUUGUUAGAAAUCAAGGAUUCAGGAAAACAGGGAUUCACUACAAUAGAUAUCGACAAGUUUCAAAACACUGGGUUUGAUGUAAAGCAUUGUACAAAAAUGGUGUAAACGCUAGGGGGUAGGCUCUCCGUGCUUGAUAAUAUAUUUAUAUAUAAAUAAUAGAGUUUAGACUUAAAAUUGGGUUCAUUUAUAAAUGCCGUAAAUAUGUUUGCCAUUAAUAAGUGUGUCAUAUUUACUCCUGCCAUAUUAUAUGUUUGCCAUAAUUAACAUUUGACAUAAGUAACACUUACCACAGGGUACACUUGACAAAAAAAUUUACACUUUCUAUAAUUUACACAAGCAAUAACUAACACUUGGCAUAAGAUUUAAACUUGCCAUAAGUUACACUUGCCACAUGUUAAACUUGUCAUAAAUUAC